GUUAAGGUGAGCGCCACAAAUUGUCUUCGCGAAGAUUUUUUAAGGAGCUGACCAUGCAGGGCAUCGUAAGGACUCUUGUCAUUAUUGGAUUGGUUGGCAAGCUGGCCGUUCCGACGUAUUCUAUGGUUCACGCUUCGGUCCCUGCCGUUCGUGGAACCAUGGCACUAGCCUUCUUGACUUCAUGCUUUGUAGGAGGUAGUACCUUCCUUUGUGAAAAAAUAGGUGGAGCGUGCAAGUACAACACUGAUUGUUGCCACCGCCUCGUGUGCCUCCAAGUCACCCAGACCUGCGAACCACGCGGCGCACACGCACGUCACGCUAGAGUGGUCAGGACAAAGCCCGUGACCCAUCCUUGGGGCAGGGCGCUUUCCAUGAAGACCACGUUGGCAGGGCGCUGAAGACCACAAUGGUUCAUUCAGAAGAUCCGUUUUUGAAAUUCAUUUGUGUAUGGUCUGCCUGCCACACAACAGCCUUCAUUGAAGUCGCAGUGCCCAAAGCCUUAAGACGUCCAAAGGGAGGAAACAAAAACUGGUUUAUACGUACUUGCAUUGAUUUCGGUGAAAGGAAAUAAAGUGUUCUCCCA